GUGCCCUUGGUCAGAAUCGAACCCGGGACCCUACAGUCCACAGGCCGACACUCUACUCACUGAGCCAGACCGACUAGGGCAACAAUAAAAUUUUUUAAAAAAUAAACAAGAAUGGCCGUGUGAGCAACAUAUGUAUAAACCGUUCUAUUUCGGGCACUAGGUCAAUGCUUUCCAUCACUUUCUACUUUGGUACCUGAGUUCCCGAUUUUUCACGAUAAUCAUUCUUGCGAUCAUCUGACCGGUGGGGACACUGAGGCACCGGGCAGCUCCUCGCGCCGCAGGCAGGCGGUGGCCCCGGGACUGAGGGCCAGCGCCCUGGCCCUGGGCUCACGGCUUCAUGCUGCCCCUGCUGAUGUGUUAGUCAUGUGUUUGCAAACAGAAUUUAUGAGGAGUAGCCGCAGGUCCUACGAUUGUCACAUAAAACACUUCACUUCGCUUAAAAACGUAACUUUCCUUGCAGAAUAAACGCCCGCCCGCCGUC